rnacentral:rRNA from 1 species
GAUGAACGCUGGCGGCGUGCCUAAUACAUGCAAGUCGAGCGAACGGACGAGAAGCUUGCUUCUCUGAUGUUAGCGGCGGACGGGUGAGUAACACGUGGAUAACCUACCUAUAAGACUGGGAUAACUUCGGGAAACCGGAGCUAAUACCGGAUAAUAUUUUGAACCGCAUGGUUCAAAAGUAAAAGACGGUCUUGCUGUCACUUAUAGAUGGAUCCGCGCUGCAUUAGCUAGUUGGUAAGGUAACGGCUUACCAAGGCAACGAUGCAUAGCCGACCUGAGAGGGUGAUCGGCCACACUGGAACGUAGACACGGUCCAGACUCCGACGGGAGGCAGCAGUAGGGAAUCUUCCGCAAUGGGCGAAAGCCUGACGGAGCAACGCCGCGUGAGUGAUGAAGGUCUUCGGAUCGUAAAACUCUGUUAUUAGGGAAGAACAUAUGUGUAAGUAACUGUGCACAUCUUGACGGUACCUAAUCAGAAAGCCACGGCUAACUACGUG